UACGGGGGGAGCAAGCGUUGUUCGGAUUUACUGGGCGUAAAGCGCGUGUAGGCUGCUUCGCAAGUCGGAUGUGAAAGCCCUGGGCUCAACCCAGGAAGUGCAUUCGAAACUGCAGAGCUGGAGUCCUGGAGAGGAAGGCGGAAUUCUCGGUGUAGAGGUGAAAUUCGUAGAUAUCGAGAGGAACACCGGUGGCGAAGGCGGCCUUCUGGACAGUGACUGACGCUGAGACGCGAAAGCGUGGGGAGCGAACAGG
rnacentral:rRNA from 1 species